GACGAACGCUGGCGGCGUGCUUAACACAUGCAAGUCGAACGAAGUGGCGCACGGGUGAGUAACGCGUAAUCAACCUGCCCUUCAGAGGGGGACACCAGUUGGAAACGACUGCUAAUACCGCAUACUGAAGGAGGGGAUUGCGUCUGAUUAGUUCGUUGGAGGGGUAACGGCCCACCAAGGCGAUGAUCAGUAGGCUGGCUGAUGGGAUGAACGGCCAAAAUGGGACUGAGACACGGCCCAGACUCCUACGGGAGGCAGCAGUGGGGAAGCGUCCGCAAUGGACGAAAGUCUGACGGAGCAACGCGGCGUGGGUGAUGACGGCCUUCGGGUUGGAAAGCGCUGUUAAUCGGGACGCGGGACCGGAAUAGAAAGCCACGGCUAACUACGUGCCAGCAGCCGCGGUAAUAC
rnacentral:rRNA from 1 species